UCCUCUCCCUCGCCCAUGAAGUCAUCGCCGCCCAUGCCGGCUGCUUCCGGCGACCUCCGGCGCAGAGCGGCACGCCCCAAGCUGCCCACGGUCCGCGCCUCCCUCCCCUCCAUCCAGACUCUCUGCUCCCGGCCUCUACAGCCCGCUCGCAACCACACACCCAUGGCUAGGGUUCGGGCAUGGCUUCGCCGGCGCGUCUCCGAUGUUGGGGCACGCCAUGGGAGUUCCCCAUCCACCACGGUCGCCGCCGUCAAGGAAUUCUUCAAGGAGAUGUCAAGGACACCAUGGACAUGCAGCUCCUCAAGAUCAAUUAAGGAAUCAAUCUCAUGAUGGUUGAUGCUUGAUGCAGCGGAGGAUCACAGAUUCACAGAUGUAAGGAUCGGGAGAAUUGGGCCUCACAUUAUUUUUUCCAGAAUUGGGUGUUGGUACUCUAUAAACUGAAUUGAGUGAGCUAAAUCUGUGCCUCAAAAUUGUAGUCUGUAGCUUUAUGUGUUACGUCUUAAGAUUGAACUAGAAGAUUGCCUUUGGGAGUAGUUUUAGUUGGUAGAUGUUUCAGGCUCCAAAUACACACACAUUAUGUGCUUAAUGUGUGGCAUAAACAUUAUCAAUUUUAUGCUUAGAAACCAAAUCACUGUCCACCCAUUUUAUUUCUUCAUGAGUAUUUUGUGUUGAAAUCAGAUCACCGUUCACCUGUUCUCGUACUGUUGUCUUUAACUUAUUUUGCGGAUUCUUAAUAAAAUGCUCAGUUCAGGA